UGUCGAAAUUGGUCUAUAGCUCUGCCUGAACUGCUGUCCAAUUGGUUUACAAGUCCGGCUGAAGUGACAGGCCAUCAAAAACUGCACAGUAUGACUGAUUCGGAGACGGCCCUCAACACUCGCCCAGUCGUGUCGAGAGGAUCGGUGUCUUUGCAGAUUACACGGAAUUGAGCACCCGGGCCAGACUGACACUUUCCGGAGCCUGUCCGAGACAGAACUCGAGCCGAGGAAUCAUAGGUCCAGGUGGUGUCGAAAUUGGUCUAUAGCUCUGCCUGAACUGCUGUCCAAUUGGUUUACAAGUCCGGCUGAAGUGACAGGCCAUCAAAAACUGCACAGUAUGACUGAUUCGGAGACGGCCCUCAACACUCGCCCAGUCGUGUCGAGAGGAUCGGUGUCUUUGCAGAUUACACGGAAUUGAGCACCCGGGCCAGACUGACACUUUCCGGAGCCUGUCCGAGACGGAAAUCGAGCCGAGGAAUCAUAGGUCCAGGUGUGACAGAAAACUUAAAGCUCAUGUCUGACGAUGACUUUUUUUGUGUCAGGAAGUAAAGUGUGUUGUUUUCCCAUGCAAGCAAGCCCUUUUGUUGGGUCAAAUGACAUCAGAAAUGCUGCUUCUACAUGGAUUUUACCUAAAAUGUGCCAAAAAAUAUAUAAAAAGUUUGUUCGGAUCUUGUUCAAAACCUGCUAUGAUGCACAUAUAAUGCCAUUGAUGAUUUGUUUUCACUUAUUAAGUCAUAUGUUACAUCUGCUAUGCUAUUAGAAUCGAAGUGAUGCCUUGUAUGGAGUCUAAGUGCUGUAUGUAUGAUGUAACCAAGGUCGGCUUUUCUACCUUAAUUCUUGACGCGAAACGCUGUUACGCGUGACGCUUUCAACGUCAACUUUAAUGAAUAAAUCUGUGUGUCAUGGUACUGGAACUUUGUGAUCUUUUUUAAAACAGAUUAUACCUAUGGAAAAAGUGCCUUUAAUUCAAAUUUGAAGGGGUUGGGUUCCCUUAUAGGUUACAUUAUCCUAAACGGAAGUGGAAUUUGGGGGGUUACAUGCAGUCGGUUUGCUACUAAGUACAUAUGAUGCAGGUCCUGGUGCAUAAGAUUUUAAAAAUGUAUCUGAAAUGAAGAGUUUAGGUGUCAGUUUAAAGGUACAUGUGUAAGUCACAGGGCAAA